rnacentral:lncRNA from 1 species
CUCAGCUGCAACCAGCCUCCUUCCCUGUUUCAUAGUGUCUGGCCAGCCAGUGGUCUUUCUUAAAUCUCUGAGGAUUCUUCAGAGCAGGGUGGUAUGAUAGCCCCCACCUCCCUGGGUUGCUAUGCAGUUUCUAUGGCAGCAGCAUCCUCAGACUCAACUUUCACCCAUCAUUUAGAGCCAAUUAAGCCCGAGCGGGAAGCAGCAACAACUCUUCUCUCAGCUGUGGGAUUGGUGUGUAGAGGACACAUCACACAAGCAGCCAUAUUGAAGACCCCUUGGGGGGAACCCCAAUAUCACAGAAGAUCCUUCAAGACCUCAGCAAUUGCCUCUGCAUCUCUUCUGACUUUCUCGUCAUUCUCUCUCUCUCUCUCUCUCUCUCUCUCUCUCUCUCUCUCUCUCUCUCUCUCUCUCUCUCUCUCUCUCUCUCUCUCUCUCUCUCUCUCUCCUGUUUGCCCCUCUAUCUCUAUUUCUCAUUCCCUCUUUCUCCCUCUUUCUCUUUCCCUGUCUUUCAGUUCAUUUGUUUCUUUGCUCCCCCACCCCAUACGUCUCUUCCAUCCUAUUUUUAUUUCUGAUCCACCAGAGGAGAAAAAUAGUAAAAAAAAAUGCCAAUUGCUCAGUUAUUGGAACUAUGGAAAAAGAUCGAGGUGGAGCCCAUGGAAAUAGAG